rnacentral:rRNA from 1 species
GAUGAACGCUGGCGGCGUGCUUAACACAUGCAAGUCGAACGGAAAGGCUCCUGCUUGCAGGGGUACUCGAGUGGCGAACGGGUGAGUAACACGUGGGUGAUCUGCCCUGCACUUCGGGAUAAGCCUGGGAAACUGGGUCUAAUACCGGAUAGGACCACAUUUUGGAUGGUGUGGUGGAAAGUUUUUCGGUGUGGGAUGAGCUCGCGGCCUAUCAGCUUGUUGGUGGGGUAAUGGCCUACCAAGGCGUCGACGGGUAGCCGGCCUGAGAGGGUGUACGGCCACAUUGGGACUGAGAUACGGACCAGACUCCUACGGGAGGCAGCAGUGGGGAGUAUUGCACAAUGGGCGCAAGCCUGAUGCAGCGACGCCGCGUGGGGGAUGACGGCCUUCGGGCUGUAAACUCCUUUCGCUAGGGACGAAGCGCAAGUGACGGUACCUGGAGAAGAAGCACCGGCUAACUACGUG